rnacentral:rRNA from 1 species
UGAACGCUAGCUACAGGCUAACACAUGCAAGUCGAGGGGCAGCAUGAUCGAAGCUGCUUGAUGAUGGCGACCGGCGCACGGGUGAGUAACGCGUACCCAACCUUCCCUAUAGUAGAGAAUAGCCCGGCGAAAGUCGGAUUAAUGCUCUAUGUUGUAUUUAGAGGACAUCUGAAGAAUACCAAAGGUUUACCGCUAUAGGAUGGGGAUGCGUCUGAUUAGGUAGUAGGCGGGGUAACGGCCCACCUAGCCGACGAUCAGUAGGGGUUCUGAGAGGAAGGUCCCCCACAUUGGAACUGAGACACGGUCCAAACUCCUACGGGAGGCAGCAGUGAGGAAUAUUGGUCAAUGGACGGAAGUCUGAACCAGCCAAGUAAGCGUGCAGGAUGACGGCCCUAUGGGUUGUAAACUGCUUUUAUAUAGGGAUAAAGUCGGGGACGUGUCCCCGUUUGUAGGUACUAUAUGAAUAAGGACCGGCUAAUUCCGUGCCAGCCGCAGC